GACGGUGGCGGUUUCUAUAGCGGUCCCUUGAUUGCCGAUGACGAUGGAUCUACUGCUAGCGGCAAUGCUGGUGGAACUACCGAGGUGACGGUUGAAAACCUUGGAAAGGCCGACGGUGAUAAUACUAAUGGCAACGCAAAUAGUGUCGAAUCGACUAAAGUUGCUGCCAAAAAUGGAAUUGGAAAUGGAAAUAUUGUGGAGGCCAAAACUACGUUUAAAGGGAGUUGGGAAUUGUUUGUUGAGAACGCCGGUGUUUCCGCCAUGCAUUUGAUAUUGCUUCCUAGUAUCAACCAGGCUUUAAUGUUCGAUGCCACGGUGUGGAAAAUCUCCAAGAUGAAAUUACCGGGACCACCGUGUCGACACGUUGAGGGAACCAAUGAAGAAGAUUGCUAUGUUCAUUCGAUUCUCAUGGAUGUUGAAACAGGAAAAAUUAGGCCACUUAGGGUACAUUUUUUAAUCUUUUUUUACUUGGUUAUUAUUGGGAUCUAACUUGAUCUUUUAAGAUCGAAUUUUUUUAAAAUAAAUUUAGUUUAAGGUGAGAUGUAGCAUCAAUAGUAGCUGGACGGAGCCUCAAAGAGGAAAACAAAACUCAAUUUUUUAUUUACAAAACUCGAAAAUAAUUUGCUUAAAACAAUCAUUAAACUCAUUACAAUUUUUUACAAUUCUAUGCUUUUUUUUAACAUUUUCAUAUUCUUUGUUACAGUUGAAUUAUGACACUUGGUGUUCAUCGGGUGCUCUUGAUAUCAAUGGUCGAUUGGUAAGCACUGGCGGUUAUAACAAUGGCUCCGACACCGUCAGAAUCCUUGACUUAUGCGAUACUUGUGGGUGGGAAGAAUAUCCUGGUGCACUUGGAAAUGGAAGAUGGUAAAAACCCUAAACUUAUUACAUUUUUCAUUUUUUAAUGAUUAAAAGCUUGAAUUUGAGUAUUUUGGGUUUUUUUUUAAGGUACGCAACACAAGUAACCUUAGGCGAUGGUAGAUUCAUGGUGUUCGGCGGUCGAGAUUUCCCAACAUACGAAUUUGUUCCUCUACAAGGCCAGAAAAACACCCUUAAGGAUGUGGUCGAUUUUAAUUUCUUGGUGGAAACACACGAUCCCGUGGAAAAUAAUUUGUACCCUUUCGUUUACCUUUCGACUGAUGGAAAUGUCUUCAUCUUCGCUAACAAUCGUUCGGUUCUUUUGAACCCUAACACCCAAACGAUCAUCCACGAGUUCCCAGUGCUCCCCAAUGGUGCUCGUAAUUAUCCUGCGUCAGGAAGUGCUUGCCUCCUUCCGAUCAUGCUCAAGCCUAAUGAAGAUCGUAGAGUGAUCCCCGCCGAGGUUUUGAUAUGCGGUGGUGCAUCACAUGAUGCGUACGCCAAGGCCGAUUUGCAGCGUCCUAAAGUGUUUUUGCCAGGGAACACCGACUGUGCUCGCCUUGAUAUCACCAAAAGGAAUGGCAAAUGGAAGAUCAUAAACAUGCCAUCAGCUCGUCUAUUGGGAGACAUGGCCGUUUUACCAACAGGAGAUGUGCUUAUUGUUAACGGUGCCAAGACUGGUUCAGCUGGUUGGGAUGAUGCUAGGGAGCCGAAUUUGAACCCUGUUUUGUACAAAUAUCAAACCGAUGGAACUGGUUCCAAAUUCACUGUGCUUAACCCAUCCAACAUCCCCCGCAUGUACCACUCCUCGUUCGCCCUCCUUCCCGACGCAAAAAUCCUCAUCGCCGGAAGCAACACAAACCCUGGUUACCUCGAUGAUGCAUUGUUCCCCACUGAAGUCCGGGUUGAGAAAUUCUCACCACAUUACUUGGACCCAAACUUGGCCAUGUUCCGACAAGAUAUCAUUGUUGACAAGUCCAAUAACCAAGUGAAGUACGGCAAAAAAUUCACAGUACAAAUCCGUGGAAAUGGCGAAAUUGACCAACAAAAGCUUCAAGUGACGAUUUACUCACCUCCGUUUGUGACCCAUGGGAUCUCCAUGAAUCAGAGAUUGAUUCAAUUGGGAAUUGUGGAAUUUAACAAAAAUGUUACCUCAAAUACAAACAACAUUAUUCUUCAAGCUCCCAUGAAUGGCAACAUUGCGCCACCUGGUUAUUACAUGCUCUUCGUAAACUACAAUGGGGUGCCUUGCCGCCAAUCGAUGUGGGUUCAAUUUUUGCCAUAGAUAUUUCACUGGAAGCAUUGAAUCGCAAAGCCGUUAUAUGAAAUUAUUAUAUUCUCUUAUAAAGAAAAAUUAAUGAAUCACUUUGUUCACGUUUUGUUGCACACAUUAUUCUUUUAAAGAUCAUAUACAAUACAAAAUGUGGACUAUUGGAUUUAUUUAUUUGCAAUUUCUUUUCUCCACUGAUUAGAUUUUUAUUAUAUAUAUUUAGAUUUUUUAUUCAAAAUUAAAUUUAUUUAAAAGUUUAAUAUCUAAAAUUGACUAAUGGAAAAAGAAAUAUUACAUGAUUUGUUUAUUUUCAAGAUUAAAUAGAAAUUCAUUUUGUAAAAUUAUAUAUAAAAAAAAAACAAAUCUUGAAUUUGAUUUUUUUCAUUAAAAGUUCUUACUGUUAGUGGUGUUCGCGAUUCUCUAGUGGAUUGCCUCGCAUUAAUACCUACAACUUCUCCCAAUUCAACUAGGUCACCAUGAGUGGGGCUUCGACAAUAUCAUAAUAGUGAUAUGUCUAAAUUGCAAGUUGAUAUGACAUUACUAGUAAUAAUAUGUUUGUAAUAUGAUAUUUUGGAAAUAUUAGAAUUGAACUUAAUUAAUUUAUCAUUUACUGUUUGAUCAUGAUUAAAAUUUUAAAAUUCACAAAGCAUAAGACUAAAAUUAAGGUGUGGGACUAAAUCCAUAAUUUAAAUAUAAUAUAGGGAUUAAUAGCAAAAUUUAACCUUUUAUUAACUAAUCUUCUUGUAAACACGGAGUGCUAAUAAAAAAAACCCAAAAUAUUUUUAUUAAGGUCAAAUUCUACUAAAUACUAUAUCGAUAUGAAAAGUUCAUAAUCUUAGUUGCGUCCCCAAUUCUCCAAUAGAUUGCCCCACAAUAAUACCUACAACUUCUCCCAAUUCAAUUACGUCAUUGUGAGUGGGGCUCUGACCAUAACAUAAUAGUGAUAUGUGAAAAUAGCAAGUUGAUAUAACAUUAUACAUAAUAAUAUGUUAGUAGCAUCAUGUUUUGGAAAUAAUAGAAUUGACCUUAAUGAAUUUAACAUUUAUUCUUUGAUCAUGAUUAAAAUUUUAAAAUUCAUAAAGCAUAUGACUAAAAUUAGAGUGUGGGGACUAAAUCCAUAAUUUAAACAUAAUAUAGGGACUGAUAGUAAAAUUUAACAUUUUAUUAACUAACCUUCUUGUAAACAAGGAGAGCUAAUAAAAAAAACCCAAAAUAAUUUUAUUAAGGUCAAAUUCUACUAAAUACUCUGCCAGUAUGAAAAGUUCCUAAUGUUAGUAGCGUUCCCGAUUCUCCAAUGGAUUGGCCCACAGUAAUACCUACAACUUCUCCCAAUUCAACUAGAUCACCUUGAGUGGGGCUCUGACCAUAACAUAAUACUGAUAUGUGAAUAUAACAAGUUGAUAUAACAUUACAUAUAAUAAUAUGUUAGUAGUAUCAUAUUUUGGAAAUAAUAGAAUUGAACUUAAUGAAUUUAACAUUUUUUUGUUUGAUCAUGAUUAAAAUUUUAAAAUUCACAAAGUAUAUGACGUACUAAAAUUAAAGUGUGAGGACUAAAUCUAUAAUUUAAACAUAGUAUAGGGACUGAUAAUAAAAUUGAACCUUUUAUUAACUAAUCUUCCUCUAAACAAGGAACUCUAUUAGAAAAAACCCAAAAUAUUUUUGUUAAGGUCAAAUUCUACUAUUUGUUCAUUAAAUCCAUUAACUAACUUUUUCAUGAGUGAAAUAUCAAGUUAAUAUAGCAAUACAAAUAUGAUAUAAUAUUUUGGAAAUAAAAAAAAUUAACUAAAUGAAUUUAAUAGUUACAGUUUAGUCAAGAUUAAAAUUUUAAAAAUGAAAAAGUACAGGGACUAAAAAUGAUCAAAUUAAAGUACAAGAGCUAAAUUCAUUAUUUACACAUAAUAUAGGGACUAAUAGCAAAAUUUAACCUUUUUAUUAACUAAACUUCCUCUAAACAAGGAACAAUAAAGGGACUAACAACAAAAUAUUUAACAUUUUACUAACUAAUCUUCCUUUAAACAAAGAGCAAUCACUAAUUUUCCCUAAAUUUCAUGCACUUCGAAUCGGGAAAAUGCAUAUAAAAGGAGAUGGAACCCAUUGUGAAAAAACCAAGCAGUAGAUCCAUAUAAUAAAAAAAGUUAGGUUAUAAGUUAUAUAGUUAAAUAAUAAAAUGAUGGCGUCGUUGUUUUGGAGAGGUCUUAUUAUAUUACCUCUCCUUUUUGUAUAUGUCAACGGCGAGCAUUUUUUGUACCCUAAACGUCAUGUUGGCAAAGCCGAGUUAGCCGGUUACAAGGGGCCAGACUCACUGGCCGUUGAUGGUGGUGGUUUUUAUAGUGGUCCCUUGAUUGCCGAUGACGAUGGAUCUGCUGCUGGCGGUAAUGCUGGUGGAACUACUGAGGUGAAGGUUGAAAACCUUGGAAAGGUCGACGGUGAUAAUACUAAUGGCAAUGCAAAUAGUGUCGAAUCAACUCAAGUUGCUGCCAAAAAUGGAAUUAGCAACGGAAAUAUUGUGG
rnacentral:lncRNA from 1 species